CCCGCUGCCCUCACAAGUCACGACGAGGUUUCUCAAAAAAAAAAGAGAAAACAUCUUCUGAUUGAUGCGAAAAGAAGAAGACAUAUUCCAGUGGAAGCAACCGCAGAACUGGCAUCAGAAACGGCCAUCUCAACUCAAUAUCAGCACCAGGAAUUCUGAACAUCGGUGGGGGGGCUGAUGCAAAUAAGAGUAUCAUAUACAUUAUACAAAGUGGAGCAUCAGAGUGGAGCAUAGGUUGUUGGAGGAUUUUGGUGAGUUGCGAGAGGUGAGCAAAGUGGAGGAUGUUGAGCAAAAGAUGAAAGCAUAGCUGGACAUGUACAAAAAAAACGCUCUCACCACAGUGGCGGAGCUAGCGAGAUAUUAUUGAGGGGGCAAAUAGCCAAAUAUAAUUGUGUGGAGGGGCCAAUAUUGUACUUAUCUUAAUUUGUGUCAUUCUAAACAGUAUUUCUUCACAAAAUAUUCAUGAGCUGGGGGGGCCAUGGCACCUGCAGCACACCACAUAGCUCCGCCAGUGUCUCACCGCAAGUGAUCAACACAUUGAGCACUUUGGUGGGCAUCGCCCGGAAGUCAAAGAUAGACCUUUCAUGAUGUUUUUCACACGAUAAUGAUAGCCCAUGAUGUUUCUAGGAUGAGGCGGAAGAGUCAUUCGACAUUGAUGAGUUCUCUUCGACGAGUGAUGGUCAGUUUGGUUGCACGUGAGCCAAGCCUAAUUGCUCUAGGCCUUGGCGCUAUGGUGUGUGACUCAGAUGAUGCCCCUUGAUGUUGCAGUUGUUUUGUCCCUGUCCCUAAGCUCUAGUGUUUUUUUUAUGGUUUUUAUUUUUUUCCCAGAUUUUCAUUUGUUUUUUUUAUUAAUCAAGAAUGUGAGGUUUUUAGGUCCAGUUUUCCUUAUAAAUUAGAUCAUCUCUCUUCUUCUUAAUGAACCGCAGGAACCCGCUGCCCUCACAAGUCACGACGAGAUUUCUCAAAAAAAAAGAGAGGAGAAAACAUCUUCUGAUUGAUGGGAGAAGAAAAAGACAUAUUCCAGUGGAAGCAGCCGCAGAACUGGCAUCAGAAACGGCCAUCUCAACUCAAUAUCAGCACCAUGAAUUCUGAACAUCGGUGGGGGGCCUGAUGUAAAUAUACAAGUAUCAUAUACAGAGGGGAGCAUCAUUCAGAACAUUUAUGGGUCUGACGUAGAUAGAUACGAGUCUCAUUCAUAUAUCAGCAUCAAAAGUUCAGAACAUUUGCGGUCUGACAUAGAUACGAGUCUCAUCUCAUACUAGAGAGGGGCUACAUCAUUUACAGUCCACGAGGCACCAGCAACAUCUCACCAAACGGCAGCGCAGCGGCCAGCCAGCCAGCUCUUGUUCAAAGCAAAACAGGAGAUUUGCCUUGAGCUCUACCAGUACCACAUCAGUACCACCUCGGUUCUCAUCACAACCAUCCAUGGAAACAUCUCACAACUACUAGAACCUAAGAGACAUUCUACACACCAUUACCUAGUCCUAAUCAAGCCCUCACAGCGGUUCACUCGGAAACAACCUUCUAAGCAUGCAGCUACAGCUCACUGUUCCUUCCAAAUUCGCCCGGUGACCCGCAGCUUGAGCUCCUUCCUGUCGCCCCCGGAGAAGCACAGGGCCAUGUUGCGCUGGAUGAUGAGCCCGUCGUAGCUGUCCCGGACUUUCCUGUGGCUAUCCCUGAUGCUCCGAGGGAUGCCCUGCCAGGUCAUCUUACGGUUGAUGCCUCCGACCUCCAGGCUGUAGGUGUAGUUCUUGGCCUCGGCGUCGUCUCCCAUGAACCUCAGGAAGGCGAUGUAGACCGGCGCCAUGCCCAGCUGGAACGCCUCGAAGUGCAGGCAGAAGUACUGCCCAAAGCAGCUGAAAACCUGGACAGAUAUUCUAGAGUUAGUUCCACAACUCUUACUUCCAUGAAGAGGAAAAACACAAGCAGAAGCUGAAUAACAGUAGCAUGCAGUGUCGACAGUAACCUUACUUAAUGGAGUUGUUAAGUAUGCACACACUUAGUAAACGAUCAGCAAUCCAUAAGACCAUAACUCAUGUUAUCAAAACUCUCCAAGAUACACCUUUAGUGUCUGGAUCUUGGACAGAGGAUGUGAGGAGUAAUCUACUGCAUAGUGUUUCAGAUCAUAAAUAUAGAGGCAGCUGAUAAUUACCGUAAGCAUCCAUGUGGCGUUCUCAACUUCAUGAGGAUUUGAUUUGACAUAGCGAUGAUUAAAGGUGCUUCCACUGUGCAUGUCAACCUUAUGAUCAUCCUUCAAGUGAUUUACUAGAUAUGGAAUGUCACCGGUGACAGUGCACUCAGAUCCCGCAUAUGGGCAAGUAUAGGGUCUGUAUUGGCACUGUGAUUCAUGUUUCAGCUUGCAGUAAUAAGGAUAUAUUCCCACGCAUCCAAAGUUCUGGAACUUGCAUGGAACCUCUAGAGAGGCAGCAACCUUCUCCAGAGCAAGGCAUCUUAUGUUACCCAAUUCACUCCUGCAAGUUGGGCAUCGAUUAUGAACCCUUGGCUUGCAUCCAGAACAAAUGGUAUGGCCAUUGGAGCACUGCACGCACAAAUGUGACAAAAUAGUUAAAAGAACCUCUAGGCACAUUCAUAUUGAACUUCAUUUCUGAGCUUAGAAUAUGCAGUGUAAAUUCAAAAUAAUCAUGAGAUACCAGGCCCUCCUACUAGAAUCAUUUGACAAUGAACAAUCUGGAUAACAUUGAAAAUGAAAAGGAAGACUGUUGCAAUGUAUAAGUUCAAAAUGUUUGCAGGGAGCUAGUUACAGGUGGGCCUGACGCAUGGGGUGGUUAACAGAAAGGAAGGGAUGCCACCUAUUAGGGUGAAAGCGAUUCAUAGAAAAAGGUCACCAACCAAAACCCUAUUUUAGUUCUGCCUACCUUGAAAGUAAAUCAGCAUUUUCAUAUUCUUUUGCAACUGGAAAUUCUUAUCUGAUCACACAUGUCGGUAUACACAUGGAAAGCCAAAAGCCUAGAACAAGGCUUAGUACAAUGCAACCGAUAUGCUAUAGUUAAAUGUAAUUAGUUCAGCAAGAAGGCAUACCUGAUGAAUUGGAGGAUACAUGGCGACCAAACACACAGGGCAUUCCAAUAGCUCACGCACAUUGCUAGAAACUAUGACAUUUGGUUUCGGUGAGUGCUCGAUAAGAUCACCGACGAGUUCUGUGACAUCUAACAUCUCAAUCUUUGGAGGGUCGAUAACUUCAGCAUCAAUGUCAUCAAGAUAGGCAGCUGACGCCAUGACCAAACCUAUAGAUGCAGAAUCCU
rnacentral:lncRNA from 1 species